rnacentral:rRNA from 1 species
GGAAUAUUGGUCAAUGGACGCAAGUCUGAACCAGCCAUGCCGCGUGAAGGAUUAAGGCCCUCUGGGUUGUAAACUUCUUUUAUAGGGGAAGAAAUGUGACGGUUCUCCGUCACUUGACGGUACCCUGGGAAUAAGCACCGGCUAACUCCGUGCCAGCAGCCGCGGUAAUACGGAGGGUGCAAGCGUUAUCCGGAUUCACUGGGUUUAAAGGGUGCGUAGGUGGGCAGAUAAGUCAGUGGUGAAAUCUUCCGGCUUAACCGGGAAACUGCCGUUGAUACUAUUUGUCUUGAAUAUUGCGUAGGUAAGCGGAAUAUGUCAUGUAGCGGUGAAAUGCUUAGAUAUGACAUAGAACACCAAUUGCGAAGGCAGCUUACUAGACAAUCAUUGACACUGAGGCACGAAAGCGUGGGUAGCGAACA